rnacentral:rRNA from 1 species
AACGAACGCUGGCGGCGUGCCUAACACAUGCAAGUCGUGCGAGAAAGUUCCUUCGGGAGCGAGUAAAGCGGCGCACGGGUGAGUAACACGUAGGUAACCUGCCCCCCAGUCUGGAACAACUAGAGGAAACUCUAGCUAAUGCCGGAUGAGACCACGAUCCCUUCGGGGGGUUGCGGCCAAAGAUGGCCUCUACUUGUAAGCUAUCGCUGAGGGAUGGGCCUGCGGGCCAUUAGCUUGUUGGUGAGGUAACGGCUCACCAAGGCUGUGAUGGCUAGCUGGUCUGAGAGGAUGACCAGCCACACUGGGACUGAGACACGGCCCAGACUCCUACGGGAGGCAGCAGUGGGGAAUAUUGCGCAAUGGGCGAAAGCCUGACGCAGCGACGCCGCGUGGGUGAUGAAGGCC